rnacentral:rRNA from 1 species
UACGGAGGGGGCUAGCGUUGUUCGGAAUUACUGGGCGUAAAGCGCACGUAGGCGGCGACUCAAGUCAGAGGUGAAAGCCCGGGGCUCAACCCCGGAACUGCCUUUGAAACUAGGAUGCUAGAAUCUUGGAGGGGUCAGUGGAAUUCCGAGUGUAGAGGUGAAAUUCGUAGAUAUUCGGAAGAACACCAGUGGCGAAGGCGACUGACUGGACAAGUAUUGACGCUGAGGUGCGAAAGCGUGGGGAGCAAACAGG